GACGAACGCUGGCGGCGUGCUUAACACAUGCAAGUCGAACGGAAAGGCCCUGCUUUUGUGGGGUGCUCGAGUGGCGAACGGGUGAGUAACACGUGAGUAACCUGCCCUUGACUUUGGGAUAACUUCAGGAAACUGGGGCUAAUACCGGAUAGGAGCUCCUGCUACAUGGUGGGGGUUGGAAAGUUUCGGCGGUUGGGGAUGGACUCGCGGCUUAUCAGCUUGUUGGUGGGGUAGUGGCUUACCAAGGCUUUGACGGGUAGCCGGCCUGAGAGGGUGACCGGCAACAUUGGGACUGAGAUACGGCCCAGACUCCUGCGGGAGGCAGCAGUGGGGAAUAUUGAACAAUGGGUGGAAGCCUGAUGCAGCAACGCCGCGUGCGGGAUGACGGCCUUCGGGUUGUAAACCGCUUUCGCCUGUGACGAAGCGUGAGUGACGGUAAUGGGUAAAGAAGCACCGGCUAACUACGUG
rnacentral:rRNA from 1 species